rnacentral:lncRNA from 1 species
CAAGACAGGCUGGAAAGACCUUCUAAAAAGUUACAUUUGGGAAAGCAAAAAGAUCAUGUUUCAUCAGCAAUGGCUAACUCAAGUACGACAUUAGCACUAAAAAAGGCUGAAAUGCCAAUGCCUACAUCUGGACGGGGAAGUAAGAAACCUUCUCAACUAUGUUUAACUGACAUAAGAAGGGGAUCUAGUUCUCAGAUUCCUAAUGCACUAAAAGAGGCUGAAAUCCCAAUGCCUACAUCUGGACAGGGAAGUAAGAAACCUUCUCAACUAUGUUUAACUGACAUAAGAAGGGGAUCUAGUUCUCAGAUUCCUAAUGCACAAGUUAGCUGCAAAAGGAAGGACCUGACUUCAUCUCAUUUGGCCUUUCGCGGAAGAAAAUCAACUCAUAAUGGAGAGUCACAGGCAG